AUGUUGGCAGCUCGAGGCAUUCUGGCCUAUCGAUCAGACACAGGGAAAUACGGAAGCCGGUGAAAAUCCGGAACGGUCGCGCCACUGUGAUCGCGCAAGCGUAAGUCAGACACGGAUCCCUGGAAAAUACUCAU
rnacentral:ncRNA from 1 species